UACGUAGGGGGCAAGCGUUGUCCGGAAUUAUUGGGCGUAAAGAGCGCGUAGGCGGUCCGAUAAGUCGGCUGUGAAAGUCAGGGGCUCAACCCUUGAAAGCCGGCCGAUACUGUCGGACUAGAGUCCGGAAGAGGCGAGUGGAAUUCCCGGUGUAGCGGUGAAAUGCGCAGAUAUCGGGAGGAACACCAAUGGCGAAGGCAGCUCGCUGGGACGGUACUGACGCUGAGGCCGACGCGAAGCGGGA
rnacentral:rRNA from 1 species